CCUACGGGAGGCUGCAGUGAGGAAUAUUGGUCAAUGGACGAGAGUCUGAACCAGCCAAGUAGCGUGAAGGAUGACUGCCCUAUGGGUUGUAAACUUCUUUUAUAUGGGAAUAAAAUGUUCCACGUGUGGGAUUUUGUAUGUACCAUAUGAAUAAGGAUCGGCUAACUCCGUGCCAGCAGCCGCGGUAAUACGGAGGAUCCGAGCGUUAUCCGGAUUUAUUGGGUUUAAAGGGGGCGUAGGUGGAUUGUUAAGUCAGUUGUGAAAGGUUGCGGCUCAACCGUAAAAGUGCAGUUGAAACUGGCAGUCUUGAGGACAGUAGAGGUGGGCGGAAUUCGUGGUGUAGCGGUGAAAUGCUUAGAUAUCACGAAGAACUCCGAUUGCGAAGGCAGCUCACUGGACUGCAACUGACACUGAGGCUCGAAAGUGUGGGUAUCAAACAGGAUUAGAUACCCGAGUAGUC
rnacentral:rRNA from 1 species